AUUUCGCAAGUGAUGACUUUCAUCCUCCUGAGUCUUGAAGCGCCAAGAAAAUUCCUCGCGCACCGUUUUCUUCCAAAGACAGAGGAUACAGUGAGAAGACAGCCAUCUGCAAACCAGGAAGAGUGCCCUUACCAGACAUCAGAUCUGCUGGCGCCUUCAUCUUGGACUUCCUACCCUCCAGAACUGUGAAAAAUAAAUGUUUGUUAUUUAAGCCA